AGUGCCCCGCCGACACAGACGCGAUGGGUACUCACUGGUUUUCCGGCAGAAUUGGCUUUAUAGAGGGAAUGUCGUGCCCAUCAAACACAUACGGAAAUGUCACAAGGUACUGUGACAUGGACGGCCUUUACCGGGACCCUGUGUACAACUGUACACGGACCUCAAUCUUAGACAUAUACACCAAGUUUAUGUAUACGACAUGGAAAGCAACCAAUAUACUAAGUAGAUUAACCGACGUAAUCACUGACUCGGAUGAUCAGCUCAUGGUCGGAGACGUGGAAAAAGUACGUUUCAUUCUCCAGAAUGUCGGAAGUGAUUUGGGCCAGAGCGACAUUGAACCGGAAAAAUACACUGAUUUUUUCUUAGAUGUGGCUAACACACUAAUUGGUGAGAAAGUUGAAUCAACGUGGAAAGUAUUAGUAAAUCAGACAAGAAUUGGUGCCGAUUAAAUUGUUAGAUGCGUGGAUAAAUUUGUGAACAACAUGGUGACACAAUCGAACGGAACAAUUUACAACCAUACCUUCAUUAAAUCGAACUUGAUUGCAGCAAUAUCAGAAACAUUGAAUUGUUCCAUUGUAAAUUUCCCGGGCGAUACAUUGGUCGGUUACAGCAGGAACAGCGACCACGAUUUCAAAGAGUUCCCUUUAUGGGCUAGCGGUCGCUCAAAUAAUAAACGUGCACCAUGCAUGAACUACCAGGUCUACAGCGGGAUUGUUUAUCGAAAUCUUUCAAGUAUCGUUUCGUUGAACUCCGCAAUCGAUCGG